rnacentral:lncRNA from 1 species
GGGGCCCUGUGGGGAAGGGUGAGGGUGCACGGCAAGGACAGCAGUACGAGCUGAAUGCAGUGACUGUAUCAUAGCUGCUGGUUAUGAGGAUUGGAUUUCUUUUUUGCAGAUGUCACGUGCCGGGGUGAGCUGUUAUUAACUAAAAGGAGUCAGGGCUUAGCUGCAAGAAAGGAGGAAUUGCUCUUAAAGUGCUUGGAAGUCACCGAUCUAACCAACAGAUGAAAAAUUUCCUGAGGACAGACCCUCCCCUCUGGAGGCAUCCUUCUAUCAUUGGGUAUGGAUGUAACAGGUUUGCCUGCAAACGCUGAGCCUUCCCUGAUCCUUAGAAGUGGGCCAGGCAGACAAGCGGCUGAUCGUGGGGGUCCUCCUGCCACUUCCUCCUGCAGAGUUCUGUCCUGCUCCCUCAGAAGCUCAGGUCUGGGCAAGACCCUGAGACCAGCACUGCAAUUAAACCACAUCCACAAUUGGCAGCUGCCAGAAGAUCCCCACCCACCUACUGGUCCCUCAACUGCUCCGGGGUCAGGCAAUGGAGCACAGUUCUCAGCUGCUGGCAGGAAAGCAGGGAGGGCUCUGGGUUUGUGUGGCCAUUUCCUCUUGUCUCCUGUCCUGGUACCUCCCUAAGACCCUCCUGGGUGGAGGCUUAUUAAGCAGGGACCCUAUCGCAGCACCAUGAUUUUCAACUCUUGGCAGGCUUCCCUGAAAGCAUUUUAUGCCAAUGCGACUGAGGCUAAUUCCAGGCUGCCUGAGUUUAAC